AUUGAACGCUGGCGGCAUGCCUUACACAUGCAAGUCGAACGGUAACAGGUCUUCGGAUGCUGACGAGUGGCGAACGGGUGAGUAAUACAUCGGAACGUGCCUAGUAGUGGGGGAUAGCUACUCGAAAGAGUGGCUAAUACCGCAUGAGAUCUACGGAUGAAAGCAGGGGAUCGCAAGACCUUGUGCUACUGGAGCGGCCGAUGGCAGAUUAGGUAGUUGGUGGGAUAAAAGCUUACCAAGCCGACGAUCUGUAGCUGGUCUGAGAGGACGAUCAGCCACACUGGGACUGAGACACGGACCAGACUCCGACGGGAGGCAGCAGUGGGGAAUUUUGGACAAUGGGCGAAAGCCUGAUCCAGCAAUGCCGCGUGCAGGAUGAAGGCCUUCGGGUUGUAAACUGCUUUUGUACGGAACGAAAAGCCCUGGGUUAAUACCCUGGGGUCAUGACGGUACCGUAAGAAUAAGCACCGGCUAACUACGUGCCAGCAGCCGCAGUAAAAC
rnacentral:rRNA from 1 species